AACUCACAUGUUACGAUCUAUUGUCUAUUUCAGCUUUAUUAAAUAUUGAAAUUCCUAGUUUCAUACUAACUUUGAUAGUCGAGAAAUUGGGAUAAGUGUUGUCAGUAGUUGUUAGUGAGCAUACUAACUUUGAUGAGGUAAAACGUGUUACAUCAUAACUUUCUCACUGUUUACUGUUGAAUGCUAGAAAACAUGGAUCAUAUAUACAUGGAUUAACUUGUCUUAGUUUCUUUAAUUGAUUUAAUUUGGUAAUUUCGUUUCAGCCAAUUCCUUCACCAUUAGCAGCUACACUCAUCCUUUUGCUAGUGUUUCACGUAAGAGUCAUCUGUAUUCAAGAGUGCCUUAAAAUCCACCGCGUCUUACAUUUAAGACGGCGAAUGGGGAAGCAUCCAAGAUAAUUUUCAGAAAGGGAGAUGAGUCAAAUGACCUCCGACAAGAUCAGCUGGGAAGGGAAUUCUUGGCCACUCAUCUCAUGACUUCAGUGCAAAAGCCGCCAGCUACUGAAUCCAACAACCAGAGUGUAAAUGGAAUGGUUAUUUCUGACCAUCCGACCGAUCAAAUUAAUUGCGAUCCAAUCUGGUGCUGUGCACUAUGUAGACUCUGUUUCUCGCACAAUAUCAAGAUGUUUUAUUUGUUUCCCAGGCUUUCUUUAUACAGUUUGGUUCACAUCCUAUUCACAUUCAUGUCUUGGGAACUCUUAGAAAUAUUAUAACAUGGGUGAUCUCUGCUCCGAUUUCCUGUGUUCAUCCGGUGGAGGCGGCUGAUCAAUAGCUAUUCUUCUGGUUGCUUAAAACUGAUGUAACUCAAUUUCUUGUUUGUACCCGCGAGGGCGAUCAUGGGCUCCACCUGCGCCCUAUUGCCGGCACUCGAUGCGGUGCCCCGGCCUCCCUAUAGAGGACCGGAAGCUUGUAGGAGCAGGAGCAGGAGCAUCUCUGACCCUUUCCUGACGAGCUGCAGGUCAUAGACGAUGUCCCAGCAGAGGUAUGCCCUCCCCUCCUUUCUUCCCCUUCCAAUCAAAUUCUUGUGCGAAAAGCAAUCUUGUGAGAAAAGGAAUCUUGAUCGAAAAUAGACCUGCUUAUUUAAUGCACUGCCACUUCAUCACAUUGAUUUCAACAUGGCUAGUUUGUCGUACCUUUACUGUUUUAGUAGUUCACUACUGAAAAAAACCACGGUUUUGGAAAAGAGUUGCGGAUUUUAAUAAGUUCAUUCAUUCGAAAGAAGUUUGCGGAUUUAAAAAUUAUUCAUAGAUUUGGAAAGGAGCUGUGAUUUAAAAAAAAGUUCAUGAAUUUGAAAAUAAUUUGAGGACAUACAAAAAAGUUCAUGAAUUUGAAAAUAACAAUCACGUAUUAAGAGAAGAAAAAGAAAAAGAAAACCAAGUGAAAGUUCAUGAACUUGAAAAUAAUAAUCAUGAAUUUACAGAAGAAAAAGAAAAAGAAAAUCAACUAAAAGCCGUUCUAAAAUAAACCACAGAAAAAACCGCACCGAAAUCCUGGGGAAACCUUCCAAAAACCAGCGGAAAAAAUUUCCACAUGGGCCG